CCAACCAGCACUCCACCUAGGACAACAAGGGAUGCACCAUUUACAGCUCCACCGCCAACCCCUGGCAGUGAAUGUCUGGACAUCUUUUGUAGUUCAGCUACCAACAUGGUCCCAUCCGCUGUGAUGCUCCU